ensembl:lncRNA
UGAGGCUGCAGCCUCUUGAAGUGGAGAAGCAGUUCAGCAUGCUCACGGUUGACCGUCUCCACCCAAGUGAGGCAUAUUGAGGCAUGUCUUGAGGGAAACAAGAUUCCUUUUGAGAUUCUGAGACCAAAACAGAAGUAAAAGAGAUCAUUCAGGCAUUGUCAAGAUAAUUUUAAUAUUAUUCUAUCAAAAGAUAAAGGGACCUAAAUGAAAAACCUAAGGCACAGAAUGAAUGAUGAGAAGGAAAAGUGGUAAAUAUAUGAAAACUGACACACAGUGAGGCCAGGUCACAGGUCCAAACAGCACAGCCUGGACUGAACUUCCCAUCACCCCUGGAAAGCCAAAUCUUGAGGCAAGCAGACGGCCACCCACCCACCGCCUGUAGUUCUUCUGGUGAACUCCAUGAUUCACAGGUCCCUGGAUGUUGGUCCUUAGAUACCUGUUCUCUUCUCACCUUCUGAGGUCCAAGUGCUGCAGAGGGAGCCCCCAACCUGUGAGGAGAAGCCAGCCAGGCUUUGCCAAGAGACACUGUGUUAUAGAUGAAGCAGUUACAAAAUUUUCUUCUCUGGCAACUUUCUGACCCUCUGCCACAUGUCACUUUGGACUCCUUGGCUACAAGAGUUGAUUUUUUUAUCUUCUUCACUACCUU